UACAGAGGGGGCAAGCGUUAUUCGGAAUUAUUGGGCGUAAAGGGCGCGUAGGCGGUCUCUCAAGUGGAUGGUGAAAUCCCCGGGCUUAACCUGGGAACUGCCGUCCAAACUGAGCGACUUGAGUCCGGGAGAGGUAAGUGGAAUUCCCAGUGUAGCGGUGAAAUGCGUAGAUAUUGGGAGGAACACCAGUGGCGAAGGCGGCUUACUGGACCGGAACUGACGCUGAGGCGCGAAAGCGUG
rnacentral:rRNA from 1 species